UGACGGUACCUGACUAAGAAGCCCCGGCUAACUACGUGCCAGCAGCCGCGGUAAUACGUAGGGGGCAAGCGUUAUCCGGAUUUAUUGGGCGUAAAGCGAGCGCAGGCGGUUUCUUAAGUCUGAUGUGAAAGCCUUCGGCUCAACCAAAGAAGUGCAUCGGAAACUGGGAAACUUGAGUGCAGAAGAGGACAGUGGAACUCCAUGUGUAGCGGUGAAAUGCGUAGAUAUAUGGAAGAACACCAGUGGCGAAGGCGGCUGUCUGGUCUGUAACUGACGCUGAGGCUCGAAAGCAUGGGUAGCAAACAGGAUUAGAUACCCUGGUAGUCCAUGCCGUAAACGAUGAGUGCUAGGUGUUGGAGGGUUUCCGCCCUUCAGUGCCGCAGCUAACGCAUUAAGCACUCCGCCUGGGGAGUACGACCGCAAGGUUGAAACUCAAAGGAAUUGACGGGGGCCCGCACAAGCGGUGGAGCAUGUGGUUUAAUUCGAAGCAACGCGAAGAACCUUACCAGGUCUUGACAUCCUUUGACCACUCUAGAGAUAGAGCUUUCCCUUCGGGGACAAAGUGACAGGUGGUGCAUGGUUGUCGUCAGCUCGUGUCGUGAGAUGUUGGGUUAAGUCCCGCAACGAGCGCAACCCUUAUUACUAGUUGCCAGCAUUUAGUUGGGCACUCUAGUGAGACUGCCGGUGACAAACCGGAGGAAGGUGGGGACGACGUCAAAUCAUCAUGCCCCUUAUGACCUGGGCUACACACGUGCUACAAUGGAUGGUACAACGAGUUGCGAGACCGCGAGGUUUAGCUAAUCUCUUAAAACCAUUCUCAGUUCGGAUUGUAGGCUGCAACUCGCCUACAUGAAGCCGGAAUCGCUAGUAAUCGCGGAUCAGCAUGCCGCGGUGAAUACGUUCCCGGGUCUUGCACACACCGCCCGUCA
rnacentral:rRNA from 1 species